rnacentral:tRNA from 1 species
GGGGACGUGGUGUAGCGGCUAACAUAUCUCCCUGUCACGGAGAAGAUCGCCGGUUCAAAUCCGGUCGUCCCCG